AGAAAUAAGCUUUGAGUUGGUUUAUGUAUGUGUUGCACCUUUGAUCCCAUGUGUUUUCAUUGUAAUGGGCCACUUCGAUUGGCUUAUAAUAUGGGUAUAGGCUAGGCAUACGGGAUUGCUUAGUUAAGUGUCUUUAUUUCUUUAUUUUAAUUGUCAUUAAGUGUUUUAGUUAAGGCUGGAUUAGGGUUCUAUAAGUGCAGUCCUGUUUUGAGUCAGUUUCCUAUGUUAUUUUAGUUUCCUAGUCAAUUUAAAUUACCUAAUAGGUUAGGGAU